UACGUAGGCAGCAAGCGUUGUUCGGAAUUACUGGGCGGAAAGGGUGUGUAGGCGGUGCUCUAAGUUCGGGGUGAAAUCUCCCGGCUUAACUGGGAGGGUGCGCCGGAAACUGGAGUGCUCGAGCGCGGGAGAGGAAAGCGGAAUUCCUGGUGUAGCGGUGAAAUGCGUAGAUAUCAGGAGGAACACCUGUGGUGUAGACGGCUUUCUGGACCGUAGCUGACGCUGAGACACGAAAGCGUGGGUAGCAAACAGG
rnacentral:rRNA from 1 species